GCCGGGCGUGGUGGUGCACGCCUGUAAUCCCAGCAGCUCUGGAGGCUGAGGCAGGAGGAUCAUGAGUUCAGAGCCAGCCUCAGCAAUUUACCGAGGCCCUGUCUCUA
rnacentral:sRNA from 1 species